GACGAACGCUGGCGGCGUGCCUAAUACAUGCAAGUCGAACGCAGUGGGGACGGGGGAGUAACACGUGGGUAACCUCCCAUCAGAGGGGAUAACACUUGGAAACAGGUGCUAAACCGAUACUGAUGGAUGGACCCGCGGUGCAUUAGCUAGUUGGUGAGGUAACGGCUCACCAAGGCCACGAUGCCUAGCCGACCUGAGAGGAUGAUCAGCCACACUGGAACUGAGACACGGCCCAGACUCCUACGGGAGGCAGCAGUAGGGAAUAUUCGGCAAUGGGCGAAAGUCUGACCGAGCAACGCCGCGUGGAUGAAGAAGGUUUUCGGAUCGUAAAGCUCUGUUGUUGGAGAAGCGGUAUCUACCCAGGAAGCCACGGCUAACUACGUGCCAGCCGCCGCGGUAAUUC
rnacentral:rRNA from 1 species